rnacentral:rRNA from 1 species
GUCCACAGCCAUUCCAUCCUGAACACACCGGAUCUUGUCUGAUCCCAGAAACUAAGCAGGGUUGGGCCUGGUUAGUACUUGGAAGGGGGAAGGAGUCGGGGCCUCUCUGGGGU